rnacentral:lncRNA from 1 species
AAAUGAUGUAUAUGAUGUCUUCAAAUUUCUGUACAACAAGUACAGUGAUGACACAUAUCUCAGCAACAUAAAAAAUCAGUCAUUCAUCAUGCACAUAUGGGAAAUUGGAGAAAUUGAAAUGGUUAAAACCACAUGUAAAAAGACUGAGUCUGACUUCCACCAAUGUCAUUUAGAGAGGGAAUUCUAUGCCAUAAAGCGGACUCCUGGAGAAACAAUGUACUAUAUAUCAUUGCCUGGAAGAAUCAGAUGCAGGAAGUUCCUGUCUAAUCUGGGCAAAUGUCCC